AACAGCCUCCUUCAAAAUGCAGCUUGACUGUGAUUCAUGGCACAAAGCUGGAAUAACCCUGCCAGUUCUUAGAAGCUUUAAGAUUCAUCGUCUUGAACUUGAUACACAUAGUAUAGCACCUUAAAAACGAAUCAUCUGCUAGUUCAGUAUUUUCUACUUACAAUCACUCCCUCCCAGGGCAUGUAAUUAAUUUACUGAGCUUAAAAAAAAAAUAUCAGGAUUACUCACACAGUCUUGAAGAUGCAAUGUCAGCUAUUUAGGACAGAAACAUCCAAGGCCGUGUCAGAACUCAAUUACGACUACAUAUGCAUUAAGGCAGGAACUGGCAGGCCUCAGGGUACGCCAACUAUAGGACUCGUGCUUCUCGUACGCUGGGCUAUAAUCUAUGAAACUGAGCUCCAGAGCCAGCCAAUCACUUAGCUCCUCAUAACAAGUCUAACUGGCUCUGGAAAGCUGAAAGGGCUGCACUGGAACAACACAGAUGAGAUAUUCUACACAUUAAUCUACUUAUCUGGAAUCACUUUGCCUCUAAAGGCCAGAGAAAAAUCACAGCUUCCUUGUCGGAGGGGAAAAGGACAGGUGAUCUGGGGAAAACGCAGCUACACCUGGAGCAAGGUCUCUUCCCGGCUUGGCAAUCUCAGCUGUGCCGGCGCUACGGGACCCGAGCCGUCCCAGAAACCAAAGGGCAGGCACGGCAGCAAACGCCUGAGGGCUGCUGCCUUCGGUGACUAUAUGAGAAUGGAAACUUCUAAGGAAGCCAGGUUGUUAGAAUUGUUACCCCCUUUACUCAGAGAUAACAUAGAUUAUCCAGGCUGAGAUGGAAAACAAGCCCUUUAUUGAAUUUUCAACACAGACUCCCUGCUUCUCAUCUCCUUAAUAAAAUUUCAUUAAAAUCCCCUUGAACUCCCAUGUUCAAAUCUCCAUUUGUUGACAGACAAAGCCAACAAUACUCUAAACUGAGGCCUGCAAGUCAUUUCAUUUGUAUUUUUGUCCAGAAAUUUCCCAUAGGAAGACUUCACCUCCUACAACUCCGAAGAAAACCCUUACUGUCCAAGACCGUCACCAGCAACCAUCCGCAGUCAUUCAAGUGGAAGCUUUCACAGCUUUUGUACAUUCUCUGUGUCAAUAUACAACUGAGUUACAGACUGUCCCCUGGCUCCCUGACCCUUACAAACACUAAAAGUUUUGUUUGACUCAACUUCAAGCUGCUCAUCUGUUAGUAAGUGAUGUUCACUCCAGAACACAUUCAUGAUGAGAACUUUCUAAAAGACCAGCACUGCUCUUCCCCUCCUAUAAUCAUAAUAAUCAUGAUAACCUGAAACAUGUUACUGGGACUCGACAUUUUUCUGGGGAUUGAAAUCUUUAGUCCUUGGAGCUGUCACAUAGCAGGGGCAACCUCACACUGAAACAAAGGAAGUGAUGUCCCAUUAUUAUCCACCCUGAGCCACCAUAAUAUGCUGUUUACAUUUAUUUUCUUCAGCCUGUGCAAAACAAAGCAAUGGAAAAGGAAACUAAAAAAUAUACAUACUAGUACCAUUAUCUUCUUUUGCCUAAAAUUACUAAUGCACCACGUCAGUCUGCUUCCUUCAGGCAUCAUUCUCAAUUCAUCAGGACUUGUAUUAGCAGGUUCUGGCUAGAGAGACUAUCUCCUGUCAUCACGAUCAAUUAAUGUUUUCUGGUGAUCACAUCAGGCCCUAUCUAAGAAGCUCAUGGUAUACAAGGGUCACCCAAAUAGCUGAGUGCAGUCCUUGCUCAUAUUUCCUUCAUCUUAACCCCGCAAACAAGAAUUAAGAUGAUCCCAAUAAAAGAAAAAUUGCUCAGGAAACUGAACCUUUUUCUGAACCAAGCACUGUCAGCAAAUCUCAGGUAUUAGAGCAACUAUGGUUGAUUGAAAAGUGUCUCAAAAUCUGGGCCAAGAAUGAUUGCUAGGUCCAUAAGCUAAUUUGUCUGGCCUUGCCAUUUACGUAAGCCAAAGAAAGUCACUCAUGAGUAAACUAUAGAAAACGUUCAGACCCAUCCUGUUAGUAUGUCAAAUCAACUAAGACUGGCAGGGUAUUAACUCCAUUCCAGGUGACAUGGAUAAAGAGCCCCAUUAUUUUCACAGUGCCAGCCUCUACCUAAGGAAACCCUAGACCUUGGAACCAGUUUCCUGGUAGGGAACUGCUGACAGUUUCAAUGCUGACAGUUGGAGCCAAUGCCUCAUAGUGUAAACUGAAAGAAAAAUAGUUGCUUUUUAAAAUGUCAGCAAGAAGGCCUGCCUCAUCUUAACAAAGCAAAAAAAAAUGCUUUAAUUCAAAUUAAAAAUCAUGAUACUAGACUGAGAAGACGUCAAGGUCCAGACACUCGUCAUUAACACCUACUCACAACCGAUUCCCCCACCCACUUUGGCCUCACCAAGAUUUGGCAAGCAGGAGAAUUAAAUGUCACUUUGCUACCAUCCUCUGCUGAACCUCCAACAGAAAAACCCAUAUUGCCCAAGUACAAAGCAUGAAAUACUGCUGGCCUACCCUGACUUUUCAGCUAUUCUCCUUGCAUAUAGUAAAUGACUCCCCAGGAGACAUCAUCUUAAAGUCUGAGACACAAAAAAGGACCCAAAGUCCUAUAUGCUUGAAGAAUUGCAUGGCAAUAUAUUUAGUUAACAUUUUCUAUUUUAUUAGAAAAAACAGACAAUUCAAUUGUCGAUGUGAUCGUUUCAAGGGAAGCAGAUACUAAAGUGACAACUUUCUCAUUACCAUUCAGACUAUUUUCUUAGAGUCCCAGGUUUGAAACUUUCAAGUUGAAACUCUAAGCUGCACCCACUGCAUACAGACUUCUUAGUCAGUUUCUGUCACGUACCAUCAUAUCUACCUUAUUUGCAUCAGUCAUAAAUUCUGCUCAUUCUUCUAUCACAGCUCCUCUGACAUUUGCCAGACCUCACCAUUUCCUCAGCCAUUUCUGGUCUGAAUCAUCAGCCCCCCAUGCCUGCUGCCUGCUCUCUUCUAUAAACAUACCAGAUGAAUCUUUCCAGCAUGCUGCUUCCCCUGCCCCCAAGUCAGCCACAGUUCCCUACUACCUAUUGAUCACAUCUGAGUUGCCUCAGCCAGUGGUCUUGCCAUAUCUACCUAGCUUAGGCUGAGUGUUAUAGGAGAAAGUGCACUAGCCCGGGCACCAGAUGGAUCAGGCUGCCUUGUACUUCAUGCAGGUUGAACAGAAAUGUUUUCUGAGCAUGUAUUGUUACAGCCCUCUGAGAUGGUAUAAAAGAAUGAAAGAAGACACGACCUGCCUUCCAGGAGUUUCACAAAAAAGAUGGGAUGAACACAGGGUUCACUUCCACCUUCCACCCUUUCACUAUGAAGGACCCUCACCAGAUGGUGGCACCAUGCUCUCGGACUUCCCAGCCUCCAGAACUGGACGGGUAAAUUGAAGCAAAAAGCAGACAAGUUCUAUGGGAUUUGCUGGCAUUGAUUUCCCAGGAUGGCAAAGUGCUAAGAACUAAACCUUUAAAGCUAACAAAAUGUACUGAUGUCUUUGCAAAGUAUCCAAGACCAACAAGAAAGUAAUUUCCCACCUCACCCUACCACCACCCAGAAAAGGAGCACAGAGAUGGGGAAGAGAGUGGCUGCAUCUGGCAUCCAGCCAGAGGAGUCCGUGCAGGGAUUCUGGAUCCCUCUUCCCCCACCCCACUGCCCUUCCCCCUCCACCCCAGCGUUUUGGAGAAGCAAGAAACUGUGAUGAUGCAGCUCCCUCAAGUAUCACAUGAAGAUAGUGGAAAGAGCCUCCUGAGGUAAAUAUGCCAUGUAGACAGAAACAAGCAAUGGCUCAACAGCAAUGUAUGAGGUCCAAGGACCAGGACCAAAGGGAAAAACAGCCAUCUCACCAGACACCUGCCUACGACCAGAUGCGUCAUCUCCAAUAUUAGCUAACUCCCUGGAACCUGGACUCAAGGUGUGAAAUAAAGGUUAAUGGGAAACCGCAGGAGUCAAAAGGAGGGGGCAGGAUUAUUGAGGAUUCAGGCUGUUGAGAAAUGAAAGUUUGGAUCACUCCCCAGAUAAAGAACCUUGACCAUUUAAGGGCAAUGGAAAUACAGAAUAGGCAGUAGAAGAAGGAAGCCAUAGAUACCAACUAUGGCCUCUCAAUCAAUUACAAAACUGAGAAUUCUGACAGUUUUGUGUAUUUCCUCUUUGCAUGUGAUGUAUAUGUGUGUAUUUGUAUAUAUUAACCAUUUUCCUUUUUCUCUCUUCAUUAUUUUAUGAAAGUUGUUGAAUAUAAACUCUACAAUUUAGCCUUUAGGUAAGAGAAUAUUCAGUGGGACUUUGAUUUGAGGAGUAUUUAAGACAGCCAGAUGAGACUACGAUAACUGUUGGAACUGUGUGUCUCCUCAUUUGGGGAAAGGGGUGAGAACUCUGCAUUUCUCUGAAGAACAGAGUUGACUUUGUGUUAUACAGAGUUCAAAUAUAUAUAUAAAAUGGUGCAUGUGGAAGCUAAGAAGCCAAAGGAGUUCACCAAGACAGUUAUCAAUAUAUUGCCUCUCCGCUCCAAAUCCACCCUUCUUUGCCCUGUUCCACGAUACUAAUCUGGCUCCUCGGUCAGCCAGUGCAAUGUCAUCUGUUGCUGGUAGAGUGUAGGGGAGACACUACAAGGUAUAGUAAAGGGGUCAGAUGCGGUGUCUCAUGCCUGUAAUCACAGCCCUUUGGGAGGCAGAGGCAGGAGGAUCACCUGAGGCCAGGAGUUUGAGACCAGCCUGGACAACAUGGUAAAACCCCAUCUCUACUGAAAAUACAAAAUUAGCACGCACCUGUAAUCCCAGCUACUCGGGAGGCUGAGGCAGGAGAAUCACUUGAACCUGGGAGGUGGAGGUUGCAGUGAGCCAAGAUCGCAUCAUUGCACUCCAGCCAGGGAAAAAAGGCAAAACUCUGUCUCAAAAAAAUAAAUAAAUAAAAUAAAAUAAAACAAGGUAUAGCAAAUA
rnacentral:lncRNA from 1 species